rnacentral:lncRNA from 1 species
CUCCCUUGCAGCCCGUGUGUCAGCCUCUGCCCUGCACUUCUUUGCCACUAUUGCCGAGGCACCGCACACAUCUCCGUGUCACUUACCAGUUGCAUGCCACAGACAAAGAUCAGCGUGCACCUGCCGCUGCAAUAACCCAUGGUUUCCAAGAGCCCUCGCCACGUAGAGCCCAACUUGAUCCAAUCAGAUUGCGGGAGAGGCCAGGCAAACCUGCGCGGGGCUCCGGGGGCUUUCGCCUGCUGCCGCCACCGCCGCCAGCGCGUCCCGAGAAGUGACAGGCAUUAGGACCCGCUGCGCUGGGUUAGCAGCCGCAGCCGCCGCUACCUUCGCUCUCCCGGUGCACCACGGAGCGAGCCUCCAGCGAGCGCGUCGGCUGUAGCGCGGGGGGCAAUGUUGCGCCAGGUGCCAGCAGGAGCAGCCGCGCUGUGCUGGGAAGCCCCAGCGGCAUCUGGGCUUCAAAGCCGGCUCCCCAGCUCGGCUCGCAAAAGCCUCCGGGGCGGCGGCGCGGGGAGGCGGCGGGGCCGAGCUCAGUUCAUGCUGGGCGAGGGGCUUCGCGAGGCAGUAGCGCGUCCCCUUCCUCCUCCUCUUCCCCAGCCGGGUCUCGGGCAACGCCAGCAGCGGCCGCCUCUCUGCAAGGAGGCUUAGCCGGGUCUCCCCAGUCCCCUGGGCGAAGGCUUCAGCUGCUCCAUGCGGCGCCGGCCGGGCUCCCAGCGCAGCAGCAGCAGCAGCGGGAGGAGAAGGUGGCACGGAGCUGGCGGCGGCUGCUCAGCGGCAUGGCACGGGGCUGGCUCGCAACGUGGGGGCUGCUGCUGCUCUGCCUGCUCCAGCGCAGCCCGGCUGAGGCGCGGGGAGGGGAGGGGAGGAGGGGUUCCCACUCCUGGGGCUCGCGCUCUGCUACAGUCUUUGCUGCACCCCCCACACCUCCUCCCCUGGGGGGUCCCCCCCCACCAAAGCGGGAAUCUUCACUUCCCCGAGCUCCCUCCCCGCCCUUCUUCCCGCGCAGCCGGGCGGCCUUGGCGAUAGGCUGCGGGAGCUGCUGUGGCUGCCACAGGCUCCGGCGGCAGAUGCUCGCACGGAGACUGCUCGGGGUGGGGGGAGGCGGUGUUUGGGUCAGGUACCGGGGCGGGCGGAGGUGGCGGCUGCGGCGGGGACACGGCUCCUCUUAGGGAGCGGCGGGGCCAUUUGAGGCUGCGAGGUCCCCGCUCGGCCAGG